rnacentral:tRNA from 1 species
GAGGGUAUAGCUCAGUGAUAAAGCAUGUGCUUGGCACGCAUGAGGUCCUAGGUUCAAUCCCCAGUGCCUCUG